GACGAACGCUGGCGGCGUGCUUAACACAUGCAAGUCGAACGGAAAGGCCCUGCUUUUGUGGGGUGCUCGAGUGGCGAACGGGUGAGUAACACGUGAGUAACCUGCCCUUGACUUUGGGAUAACUUCAGGAAACUGGGGCUAAUACCGGAUAGGAGCUCCUGCUGCAUGGCGGGGGUUGGAAAGUUUCGGCGGUUGGGGAUGGACUCGCGGCUUAUCAGCUUGUUGGUGGGGUAGUGGCUUACCAAGGCUUUGACGGGUAGCCGGCCUGAGAGGGUGACCGGCCACAUUGGGACUGAGGAAGGGCCCGGACUCCAACGGGAGGCAGCAGUGGGAGAUAGUGCGAGAUGGGCGGAAGCCGGAAGCAGCAACGCCGCGUGCGGGAUGACGGCCUUCGGGUUGUAAACCGCUUUCGCCUGUGACGAAGCGUGAGUGACGGUAAUGGGUAAAAAAGCACCGGCUAACUACGUG
rnacentral:rRNA from 1 species